rnacentral:rRNA from 1 species
UAGGGAAUAUUAGAAAUGGACGAAAGUCUGAUCUAGCAACACCGCGUGUGCGAAGAAGGCCUUCGGGUCGUAAAGCACUUUUUGGAAGGAAUAGGAAGGAAUGUACUUCCAGAAUAAGUCUCGGCUAACUACGUGCCAGCAGCCGCGGUAACACGUAGGAGGCAAACGUUAUCCGGAUUUACUGGGCGUAAAGCGCGUGUAGGUGGUACUGUAAGUAGGGCGUGAAAGCUCCUGGCUCAACUGGGAGAGGCCGUUCUAAACUACAGAACUAGAGGAUGGUAGAGGGAGGUGGAAUUCCAGGUGUAGCGGUGGAAUGCGCAGAUAUCUGGAGGAACACCGGUGGCGGAGGCGGCCUCCUGGACCAUUCCUGACACUCAGACGCGAAAGCUAGGGUA